rnacentral:rRNA from 1 species
UUGGAGGGCAAGUCUGGUGCCAGCAGCCGCGGUAAUUCCAGCUCCAAUAGCGUAUAUUAAAGUUGUUGCAGUUAAAAAGCUCGUAGUUGAAUUUCGGGGUUAGUAGGCUGGUCAUGCCACCGGUAUGUACUGGUCUUUCUGAUUCCUCCUUCCUGAUGAACUGUAAUGCCAUUAAUUUGGUGUUGCAGGGAAUCUGGACUGUUACUUUGAAAAAAUUAGAGUGUUUAAAGCAGGC